GACGAACGCUGGCGGCGUGCUUAACACAUGCAAGUCGAACGGAACGGCCCUGCUUUUGUGCGGAGCUCGAGUUGCGAACGGGUGAGCAACACGUAAGUAACCUGCCCCUCACCUUGGGAUAACCUAAUGCAACAGGGUCUAAUACCGGCUAAGAGUUCUCGCUGCAGGGUGGGGGCUGGAAAGAUUCGGCGGUUGGGGAUGGACACGCGGCCCAUCAGCUUGUUGGAGGGGUAGUGGCUUAGCAAGGCUUGGAACGGUAGCAGGCCUGCGAGGGUGAGCGGCCACAUUGGGACUGAGAUGCGGCCCAGACUCCUCCGGUAGGCAGCGGUGGAGUAUAGUGCAUAAUGGGCGGAAGCCUGAUGCAGCACCGCCGCGUGCGGGAUGAGGGCAUUCGGUUUGUAAACCGCUUCCGUCUGUGACGAAGCGUGAGUGACGGUAAUGGGUAAAGAAGCUCCGGCUAACUACGUG
rnacentral:rRNA from 1 species